UUAACUUGCCAAAGAAAAAAGUCUCAGUUACAAAGCCCUCAAAACAUCUCACAAAUCAGAUCCAGGCAGGAAAACAGAUGAAGAAUCACCACAUAGUCAUCAUUUCUGGAAAACCCAUUCCAAGUGGAACAGAAGCAGUGGUUUUGGGCUCAAACCAGGGCAUGUUUACAUCCAGAACCAGUGCUAAGGAAACAGCCACACUGGCUGUCUGAGAGGGUGCACAGCCAGCAAGGGACUGGUUUAUAGGGAAGCAGCAGUUUCUCUGCAGACUGACCCCUCACUGGGGUGAUCUGCUUUCCCUCCGACCCACAGGCCCCAGAGAGAAGACCUACCUGGCCACUUGCUAAGCGAAGCUUUCUUCCUGGCAUAGGAUGGCAGAGGAGAUGCACUAAUGAGCUGGUGUUCUGCUCACUGUCACUGCUCCUUCUUUCUUGGUGACUGUCUGAAGUUACCAGCCAGCCACUUUCUCCAAGCCAGUUGUUAUCUCUCUCCCUGGAUGCGUUUAUGGACCCAGAUGGGCUCUGGCGGGAAGUACAGGUUUGAGCUCUGCAGUCUACAGAUCAGAAUCACUUCUGGGUUUUGAUUUGUAAGUCCUAGACUCAUCAAACCUAUCACACCACCCACUCCAAAAUCAAUCAGUUUCACGCCCAUCCCUCGCAAAGAGAACUUUGAAAUGACAAGGACAACUAACUCUGGAAACAGCAAAGUAUGCUGCAGAAUGCCUUUCCUUUAGCAAGAAGAAAGGAAUCAGUGAAUUAUAGCAGAGACCAAGUAUUAGGGAUUUAAAGCUCAAGUCUGGAAAUCCAUGUGUCUCCUCAGAACAGAGUUCCAGCUCAGAGUUCCAGCUCAGUGAGUGCAGACAGGCUCCCAGCCCAGCACGCCCAGUCGCGCUAAAUCGAAGAAGAGCUGGAUUGUAAGCACUGAAAAGAUCAUCCAUUUGUGUGCUGAAUACUUCCAUUUCUUACUUCCAUUUUAUGAAGAACAUGAAGGAAUUUAAUUGACUUUACCAAGGUCACCAGCAAAGCAAGGAUGAGAAACCUGAGAGUGAAUCUUUUCUGCUUCCAAAUGUUUUGAAAGUUGGCUCAUAUUAAAAAAAAAAAAAAAAAGGAGGGGUGAUGAAAGAGCACUUCUGGGAAUGAAAAAGAGAAACCUUGUCUCUCAAUGCCUAGAGGUCUGUGCUAGUUCCAAAGAUAAGCUUUUAUUUUAGGCACAGAGCUCAAAUUAAUCAUCACUUUAACUGGACAUUUUCCUUAUUAUAUCCUGAAUUUUAAAAAAUAAAUUAAA